GUCAUCAAACUCUAAGAAAUACAACCCACUCUACUUCUUAGCAGUUAAAAUUGUCUUUCCCGUGCAAGGGCCUGAAAAACACAAUAAGUUGAAAAAAAUGUUACUAAACAAUUUAAAUCCUUUGUGAGUUUUUGAACAGAGAUAAAAUUGUUAGCUAAUUGAGGAACAUGUAAAACAUCUUUCAAUACAAUAGAUGAGUCCAAAAUUAUAUUACCAGAGCCGCAUAUAGGUAUACCCUGACCAUUUGCAACUGUAAUAAGUUGUUUUUUAUUUCUUUUACCAUGAGUCGAAGGACACACUAAAAGGUAUCAUAUGAUCAAUUGUACCCAAAUCAAGGAUCCAAAUACCUUGAGACACAUGAUCAACAGUAUUGAGGCAAAUCUUACCUUUUAUGGACAAAGUACAUGAUCCAGAGGGCUUACUCAUUGAUUCAUCCAUUGCUUUCAAAGGAAUAAUUUUUACUUCAGACAUCCCGUAGAACGCAACCAGGAGUUUCCAAGACGACGACGACGACGUAUGGUGGUAUCAUAAGCAAAUCCGUGAGGGCUUGGCCUAAAGUGAACAAUAUCCGUGAGGGCUCUGAUACCAUGUUAGAAGUGGAUUUUAAGCCUAACUCAACUCCACAAAACCGGCUUGUAGGGUGAGGUUUGCACCCACUUAUAUACUCUUAAUUGGCCAUAUCUCUAGUCGAUGUGAGACUUCCAACACACCUCCCUCACGUCGAGGUAUAUACAUCUUGAGCGUGGGAUUAGACAUUUAAUGGGUGGUCCGAUAACGGUCCGAUAGCGAGUGGAACAACAUGUCCAACAACAACAGAUAUCGCUAGGAUAGGCUCUAACCUAGCUCUGAUACCAAGUAGAAAAUAAGACUGAAAUUUAUUACUCAGAAUAAAUUGAAAAUACAUUCUUAUAUUCUCUAUUUGUAAUAAUCUAAUUCUCCUAAAAAGGAAAAUAGGGAAACUAGGCAAACAAAAUAAAAUAAAUAAAAUAGAAGAUUGUAUAUCUAUUUUCUCUAAUUAAGAAGAUUCUAAAGAUAUCUUUUCUAAUUACAACAGUUUAUAAAUCAUUAAUGUUAUUAUCAGUGCUUCAAAAAAUAUGUGUCAAAAUACCAAACCAAACCUAACUAAAAAAUGUGUCAACGAAGCAAUGUGCAGCAACCAACCUAACUUCACGACAAAGCCCUCCUAAUGCCAAGCUCCACGAACCACCACCCCUGCUGCAACACACAAAACAAAGAAGAAGAACCCUAGCCACCCAACCCACAAACUAGCCACCAAGGAACCACUAUCAUCGUUCCCAACAACAACCUCUUGAAAUCGACUUAGGGUGACCAAUCUCACGCUGACAAAAGCCAAUGUGCACGAAUCUUUGAAGAAGGAAGGGAAGACACCAACCUACCAACGAACCGUUGCCACCGUCCGAACCACCAAGCUCUUCAAACCGACCCGGGAACACCAACUUCGUGCCCACACAAGGUUUACGUCAUGAGAACAGGGAAGGGAGGAGAAGAGUACUGAAAUUAAUUUUGGAGAAUUUGGGAAAGGAAUACCCUAAUUUCAAACUUAAUGCAUUGUGAACAUUACCGAAGACCAAAGAUCGUCUGUAAAAACAAUAAAUAGGCCACGAUAAAUCCUCCUGUAAUCAUCCAUUACCUAAGGCUUAAAGACCGUCAGUGAAUGCCUUUGGUAAUCAGCGUUUUUAUUGCAGUAAUGAACCUAAGACAAAAAUGCAUGUAGACUCAAUAUUAAUGUCAUCAAUGGACAAUUGCGUUGUAUAACUCUUUUACUUGUUGCUAGGACUAAAGAGCUUUGAGUUGACGAUAAGCAAUUUAGAUGAUUGGGAUAUUUUGAGAGAGAUACUGAGUUUUGUGAAGUGACCCGAUAGUUGACUUUAUAUUUAAAGUUCAUUAUUUCUUUUCUGAUUUGGUAUUUAGUCAAUAAAAUUUAGGCCCACGUUUAUGUAAAAUUUGAUUGUUACUAAUACUAUUUCACCUUGUAGGAG
rnacentral:lncRNA from 1 species